rnacentral:rRNA from 1 species
GAUCCUGGCUCAGGAUGAACGCUAGCUACAGGCUUAACACAUGCAAGUCGAGGGGCAGCAUAGUGUUCUAGCAAUAGAAUACGGAUGGCGACCGGCGCACGGGUGAGUAACACGUAUCCAACCUGGCUGUUAUUCGGGGAUAGCCUUGCGAAAGUAAGAUUAAUACAAGAUGUUAUCAUGAGUAAGCAUUUUCGCAUGAUUAAAGGUUUACCGGUGUAAGAUGGGGAUGCGUU